rnacentral:rRNA from 1 species
ACUGGUUGAUCCGCCAGUAGUCAUUAUGCUGGUCUCAAAGAUAAGCCGCAUGAAGUAUGAACAAUUCAACUGAUGAAACUGCGAAUGUCAUUAAAUCAGUUAUAUUGUUUGAUGUAUCUCUACUGCAAACCGUAGUAUCUCUAAGCUAAUACUGCAACAACCCCGACUCUGAAGGACAUAUUAGAUAAAAGGUCGACCGGCUGCCCGCUGAGAUUCUGAUAACCACGAUCGCACGCCAUCGUGCCGGCCACGCAUCUUCAAAUUCUGCCUAUCAACUUUCAUGUAAUAUGCCUAACAUGUGUGACGGGUGACGGAGAAUUAGGGUUCGAUUCCGGAGAGGGAGCCUGAGAAACGGCUACCACAUCCAAGGAAGGCAGCAGGCGCGCAAACUACCCAAUCCUGACACGGGGAGGUAGUGACAAUAAAUAACAAUACCGGGCUCUCACGAGUCUGGUAAUUGGAAUGAGUACAAUCUAAAUCCUUAACGAUCAUUGGAGGGCAAGUCUGGUGCCAGCAGCCCCGGUAUUCCAGCUCCAAUAGUCGUAUAUUUAAGUCUGUUGAGUUAAAAGCUCGUAGGUUAACCUGGUGGGCACUCUCCGCCCCUCAGUGGCAACCGGUUGCUGUCCCUGACUCCGGCGAGCCUCGCCUGGCCUAACUGGCGCGUCGUCUCUCCGUUCUUUACUUGAAAAAUGUGAGUGCUCAAAGCAAGGCCUACCUCUGGAUACAUGCAUCGGAUAAAUCAUAGAUUCGUCAUAAGGCCUCGGGUAUCGGUCAUAAGAUUAACACGACAGUCUGGGGCAGCGUAUCAAUCAAGUGUAAAUUCUUGGAUUCUGAAAUAUACAACAACUGCAAAGCAUUGCCAAGAUUUCAUUAAUCAACGAAAUGGGCUCGGAAGACAUCAGAUACUCCCUAGUCUCACCAUAAACUGACCGAACAGAUGGAUUUACUUAUAGACUCCGCCACACCUUAUACGAAAUCAAACUUUGUCCUGAGUAGGUCCCUAAGCUGAAACUUAAAAAUUGACGAAUGUCACCACCGAGAGUCAAGCUCUCCGGCUAAUAUGCUCAACACGGGGAAAUCUUACCAGUCCAGACAAUAAAGACUGACGACUGGAAGCUCUUUCUUAUAAUGGUCGUGGGGCAUGGCCGUCUUACGUUGGGGAUGAUUGGUUGGUAAUUCGUUAACAACGACACCUCAGCUGCCCUAACUAUAUCGGAAGACCCCUCCGCCGCUUCUAGGAGGGUACUAUCCCUUAGCAACAAGUAGCAAUAACAGUCCUGCUAUGCCCUUAGAUGCUGGGCCCCGCACGCGCUCACACUAGUAUUCAACAGUAUGCCUGCACAGGCCUGAAUCUGAAAUCAUUGAUGGCAUAGCAUGCAAUUGUUGUCUUCAACGAUAAGUCCUAUAGCGCGCAUCACAGCUCGCGUUGACUACUCCCUGCCUUGUACCACCCCGCCCUCUACACUGCAAUCUGUGAAUGUUCGAUCUCGGCGACACGGCGGUCGCUGCCGGCACGUCGCGAAAGCCACUAACCUUAUCAUUUAUAGGAAGAGAAUCAACAAUUUCCGUAGUGAACCGGCGGAAG